rnacentral:rRNA from 1 species
AACGAACGCUGGCGGCAUGCCUAACACAUGCAAGUCGAACGAGACCUUCGGGUCUAGUGGCGCACGGGUGCGUAACGCGUGGGAAUCUACCCUUCGGUUCGGAAUAACAGUGGGAAACUACUGCUAAUACCGGAUAAUGACGUAAGUCCAAAGAUUUAUCGCCGAAGGAUGAGCCCGCGUAGGAUUAGCUAGUUGGUGGGGUAAAGGCCUACCAAGGCGACGAUCCUUAGCUGGUCUGAGAGGAUGAUCAGCCACACUGGGACUGAGACACGGCCCAGACUCCUACGGGGAGGCAGCAGUGGGGAAUAUUGGACAAUGGGCGAAAGCCUGAUCCAGCAAUGCCGCGUGAGUGAUGAAGGCCUUAGGGUUGUAAAGCUCUUUU